UGAUUGCAGCUAUUUAGAAAUUUGAUUGCUUGCUUUGAAGUUACGUGCUUACAUCCAAGGAAAGAAGAUUAUUUUUACAAAUGAUUCGACAAUUCUAUUGUAAUUAAAUCCUUUUGCUUCCACAGGGCAGCAACUUCUUUAGUCAGGACUGAUACUGGAUAUCUUAGCAGAGAUUACCAAAUUGGAUCAUCCAAAAUGAUAAUGAAAAUCUCAGCAGAGAUUACCGAAUUGGAGCAUCCAUGCCUUAAUGUUCCUGGUUCACAGAGGAGAUAUCAGCUCACAAAGCAGAAUGGAAGAACAUAUUAAUUAAUCAACGGCUCCUGAAGGAGAAGCAGUCUACAUGGAACUGAUAAAAAAACCAUAGGAAU